rnacentral:pre_miRNA from 1 species
GAGGAGUGUGGCGAGGAAACCGUUACCAUUACUGUGCUUAGUAAUGGUAAGGGUUCUCUUGCUGCGCUCAGU